rnacentral:rRNA from 1 species
GAUGAACGCUGGCGGCGUGCCUAAUACAUGCAAGUCGAGCGAACGGACGAGAAGCUUGCUUUUCUGAUGUUAGCGGCGGACGGGUGAGUAACACGUGGAUAACCUACCUAUAAGACUGGGAUAACUUCGGGAAACCGGAGCUAAUACCGGAUAAUAUUUUGAACCGCAUGGUUCAAAAGUGAAAGACGGCCUUGCUGUCACUUAUAGAUGGAUCUGGGCUGCAUUAGAUAGUUGGUAAGGUAACGGCUUACCAAGGCAACGAUGCGUAGCCGACCGAUGGGGCGGGUCGGCGGCAUUGGAGCGUGACCGGGAACAUUGCGACUGCGAGACGGCCCAGACUGCUACGGGCGGCAGCGGGGGGGAACAUUGCAGAGUGGGCCGAAGCGUGUUGCAGAAACCUCGCGUGCGGGAUGACCGCUUUCGGGGGGUAAACAGAUUUCGACGGUGCUGAAGCGUGAGUGACGGUAACGGGUAAAGAAGCACCGGCUAACUACGUG